UAGAUGAAGAGAGUAAUGA
rnacentral:miRNA from 1 species